GUCCGUGAGGACGUCCAGCGUCACAUAACUGACCAAAAGUCAGUUUGGAUUCCGGAAGCUCCCCCAGUGGCUGUCUGGUAGACAGCCACUGAGGGCAGACUUGGAGCUGCAAUGUAAAGAUCGCAGUUCUCUGGAACUGCAAUGUUUCACAUUGCAGCACUAAGUGCAAUAGGGAGACAGCACCCAGACAACUUCAAUGAACUGAAGUGGUCUGGGUGCCUACAGUGUCACUUUAAGUGACCAACUUGGUUCCUUAAAGGAAUACUCUAAGCACCAGAACUACUGCAGCUUAAAGAGACACUAUAGGCUCCCAGACAGGCACUCAUUAAAAUGGUCUGGGUGCAAUGUUGCCCUUAGUCCUGCAAUGUAAAUCAUUGCAGUUUUUGAGAAUCAGACAGCCACUGGCGGCUCUUCCUGGAUGUUAACAGACUCUAGGUCAUACUCUAAUUGGAUUUCCUAACGCUUUGCAUAAGGACAUCAAGCGUCAGUAAAAUCCCCAUAGAAAUGCAGAGGCAAUACUUUCCUAUAGAGAGGGGCUACUGUGCUCCCCGUGCAUGCGCAUUAGACCGCCCUCUCGGAUGACGUCCGAAGAGGCUGAACGCCGAC